CUGGACAAAGUCGUAGCAGCAGAUUGAGAGAGGGGGGGGGAUUCAUAGAUCUCGGCUCACACCAGCGGAACGAUACGCGCUAGAACAAUGGCUGCCGUAACAGAAGACAAGCCCAAUCAUCAUUUCAUAUCCAUCACUUUGUCAAGUUCUCUGCGUCUACGAUCGAAAAGGACAUUUCCGUUGUGUAAACAUCUGUUCCCUCGAGGGAGCGAAAUCCACAUUUGAAAACUUGAAUAAUUUUGUUUUUUCUUUAAUCAUCUUGAUAAAUAUGCACGUUAAUCCUCACUCAAGGACAAAAAGUCUUUUUUUCUAUUCGAAAAAGAGAACAUUUUCAUGUAAAUUGUGUUGUUGACUAAGUUCUGAAUUCCCUAGACGCAAAAAUUUGGGAGGAAGGGGGAGAUUUUCAGAUCAACGGCGGCCAUCAUGGACUUCGCUUUCCCAAUUUUGCCACCCAGAGAAGGGGGUGAAGUCGACGACCUUGACACAUGCGAAAAUCACCCAACCAAAAUUUGUUUUUUUUUCCACUAAUUUGAUUGACGUUCAAGAAAACAUCCUUAGGCUAUCAUGAUGAUCUUAUUAUUUUACGACUUAAAUAUUAUUGUGAUGAUGAUGAGACUUUUAUAGACGUUUUGCUCAUUUUCCCACUACACACUUGACCAAGCUAAAUCGUAUGCAUAACGUCCAUUUGUGCCCUGCGGCUCGGCCGUAUGGAGGUGACAUUUUCAGCGCCACGUAAGUCGUCAUUUUUUCUUUAACAUGUUCCAUUUCUCUGUGUAUGUUUACAAGUUAGCCAGGUCGUGUUGACCACCGGUGAGAUGUAGGCAAUUUAUGCGACAAUAAACACCUUGGAAUAUA